rnacentral:misc_RNA from 1 species
AUCAGUACGCUGGUCGUUUUUGUGGUCGUAAGCUGGAGUUCACAUCUGAUACACGGUGAGCGUAAAGUGGUUGGGCAGAAGGGAACGAAAAAAUGAUGACAUAUAUCUGGUGGUCGUUACCGCUGACGCUGGCGGUAUUUUUCGCCGCCCGCCGACUGGCGGCGCAUUUUAAAAUGCCGUUGCUGAAUCCGCUGCUGGUGGCAAUGGUAGUCAUUAUUCCUUUUCUGUUGCUGACCGGUAUUCCCUACGAGCACUACUUCAAAGGCAGCGAAGUACUUAACGAUCUGCUGCAACCGGCGGUAGUGGCACUGGCCUAUCCCCUUUAUGAACAAUUGCACCAGAUUCGCGCGCGUUGGAAAUCCAUUAUU